GACGAGUGGCGGACGGGUGAGUAACGCGUGGGAACAUGCCUAUUAGUUGGGGACAACCUGUGGAAACGCAGGCUAAUACCGAAUACGUUCUAUGGAAUAAAGGUGGCCUCUACUUGUACGCUAUCGCUAAUAGAUUGGCCCGCGUUGGAUUAGCUGGUUGGUGGGGUAAAAGCCUACCAAGGCGACGAUCCAUAGCUGGUUUGAGAGGAUGAUCAGCCACACUGGGACUGAGACACGGCCCAGACUCCUACGGGAGGCAGCAGUGGGGAAUAUUGGACAAUGGGCGCAAGCCUGAUCCAGCAAUGCCGCGUGUGUGAAGAAGGCCCGAGGGUUGUAAAGCACUUUCAAUUGUGAAGAAGGGGUUGUAGUUAAUAAGUGCAAUCAUUGACGUUAACAAUAGAAGAAGCACCGGCUAACUCUGUGCCAGCAGCCGCGGUAAUACAGAGGGUGCAAGCGUUAAUCGGAAUUACUGGGCGUAAAGCGCGCGUAGGUGGUUUGAUAAGUUGGAUGUGAAAUCCCCGGGCUUAACCUGGGUCGGUCAUUCAAAACUGUCAGACUAGAGUAUGGUAGAGGGUAGUGGAAUUCCUAGUGUAGCGGUGAAAUGCGUAGAUAUUAGGAGGAACACCAGUGGCGAAGGCGACUGCCUGGACUGAUACUGACACUGAGGUGCGAAAGCGUGGGUAGCGAACAGGAUUAGAUACCCUGGUAGUCCACGCUGUAAACGAUGACAACUAG
rnacentral:rRNA from 1 species